UACGUAGGGGGCGAGCGUUGUUCGGAAUUACUGGGCGUAAAGGGAGCGUAGGCGGAUCCGUAAGUUAGAAGUUUAAUGCGCAGGCUCAACCUGUGACCUGCUUUUAAUACUGCGGAACUUGAGUAUGGAAGAGGGAGAUGGAAUUCCAGGUGUAGCGGUGGAAUGCGUAGAUAUCUGGAAGAACACCAUUAGCGAAGGCGGUCUCCUGGUCCAAUACUGACGCUGAGGCUCGAAAGCUAGGGGAG
rnacentral:rRNA from 1 species